rnacentral:rRNA from 1 species
UACGAAGGUCCCGAGCGUUGUUCGGAAUUACUGGGUGUAAAGGGUUCGUAGGCGGUGCGGCAAGUUGGGAGUGAAAUCUCUGGGCUUAACCCAGAGGCUGCUUCCAAAACUGCUGUGCUUGAGUGUGGGAGAGGCGCGUGGAAUUGCAGGUGUAGCGGUGAAAUGCGUAGAUAUCUGGAGGAACACCGGUGGCGAAGGCGGCGUUCUGGACUGCAACUAACACUGAUGAACGAAAGCCAGGGAAGCAAACGGG